rnacentral:rRNA from 1 species
UUUUAUUUGAGAGUUUGAUCCUGGCUCAGGAUGAACGCUGGCGGCGUGCCUAACACAUGCAAGUUGAGCGAUUUCCUUCGGUAAAGAGCGGCGGACGGGUGAGUAACGCGUGGGUAACCUACCCUGUACACACGGAUAACAUACCGAAAGGUAUGCUAAUACGGGAUAA